rnacentral:lncRNA from 1 species
UUUUUAAAGUGUACUUUUGUGUGUGUGUGUGUGUGUGUGUGUGUGCGUGUGUAUUUAUACAGGCUGGUUAUGAUGCAGUCUACUCAGCUGACCCAGGUCGUUGGGCCUUCAGGGUGGACAGUGGACCAAAGUCAAAAAAAGACCACGUCAUUGGACUUAAAGUGAAACUUUCCUCAUUUUCUGACCUAACAGAUACUGGAAACAUUCAGAUCAUUUUACAGCGAAUCAAACAGGAGCUGGUCAAGUACGGUCUGCCAAACAGUGUUGAGCUGAAAUUAAGAAAGUUGCAAAGGACGAAGCCAUAAUAUCAGUCUCCUUCAGGAAAAUAAAUAAAACAGUCCUGUAUCUAAUUGAUCGUGUGAAGAAUCUAGUUUUUAAUAAUGUGGUUUUUAUUUGAAGCUUUAAAAGUGACACAAAAACACCAUAAACUUGGUUACACCAUUGAUGUAGCUUACAGCUGUUGAGAUGAAUAACCUACUGACAUCCAUCUUAAUUUUCCUACGCUUAUUUGAGUUAAUUUAUGUGACAAUAUCCAUUCUAAAAAAAACAAAGAAAAACAAAAUUUGGAUUAAAAUAUUAUAAUAAGUUAAUAGCUGAUGCCAUUACAAACCCUAUUUAAAUGAUCUGAUCACAAAUUAGACUGAUCUGGUCCUCAAGUUCCACUGACCCUUUACCGGGAGUUUGAUUGACAGGUGAUCUGACCAAUCAUAAUGCCAAAUCUAAAAGUUUGUCUGACAAACAAACCAGACCAGGAGAGUAGAUUAAUGUCGGUGGACUUUAACUUGAAAGAUGGUGUAUUGAUGUCUUUCCAUGGUUGAAACAAGAUACCUUUUGAUGUUCAUUCAGGUUUAUGUUGUGCUAUAAAGAGUAAGAGAUGUUCGGUUCUUGUGCAGCAUGAACUGAGGCGUUACAGCGAUCUGUCACGACACAUUUAAGAGCCACAAAAACGGUAUUAAUUAUU